CCAAUAGCGUAUAUUAAAGUUGUUGCAGUUAAAAAGCUCGUAGUUGAAUUUCGGGAUUGACACAUCGGUCGUGCCUUAAGGGGUAUGAACUGGUGUAGUCAAUUUCUCACCUUCUGGAGAACCGCGAUGCCCUUAAUUGGGUGUCGCGGGGAACCAGGACCUUUACUUUGAAAAAAUUAGAGUGUUUAAAGCAGGCAUUUUGCUUGAAUACAUUAGCAUGGAAUAAUAAAAUAGGAUGGCAUGAUUCUAUUUUGUUGGUUUCUAGGAUCACCGUAAUGAUUAAUAGGGAUAGUUGGGGGCAUUAGUAUUCAAUUGUCAGAGGUGAAAUUCUUGGAUUUAUUGAAGACUAACUACUGCGAAAGCAUUUGCCAAGGAUGUUUUCAUUAAUCAAGAACGAAAGUUAGGGGAUCGAAGACGAUCAGAUACCGUCGUAGUCUUAACCAUAAACUAUGCCGACUAGGAAUCAGACGAUGUUAAUUUUUUAAUGACUCGUUUGGCACCUUACGG
rnacentral:rRNA from 1 species